AUAGGUAUGCUUAGGGAGGAGCUUGCGUCACAUUAGUUAGUUGGUGGGGUAAAGGCCUACCAAGACUAUGAUGUGUAGCCGGGCUGAGAGGUUGAACGGCCACAUUGGGACUGAGACACGGCCCAAACUCCUACGGGAGGCAGCAGUAGGGAAUUUUCGGCAAUGGAGGAAACUCUGACCGAGCAACGCCGCGUGAACGAUGAAGUAUUUCGGUACGUAAAGUUCUUUUAUUAGGGAAGAAUAAAUGAUGGAAAAAUCAUUCUGACGGUACCUAAUGAAUAAGCCCCGGCUAACUAUGUGCCAGCAGCCGCGGUAAUACAUAGGGGGCAAGCGUUAUCCGGAAUUAUUGGGCGUAAAGGGUGCGUAGGCGGUUAAAUAAGUUUAUGGUCUAAGUGCAAUGCUCAACAUUGUGAUGCUAUAAAAACUGUUUAGCUAGAGUAAGAUAGAGGCAAGUGGAAUUCCAUGUGUAGUGGUAAAAUGCGUAAAUAUAUGGAGGAACACCAGUAGCGAAGGCGGCUUGCUGGGUCUUUACUGACGCUGAGGCACGAAAGCGUGGGGAGCAAACAGGAUUAGAUACCCUGGUAGUCCACGCCGUAAACGAUGAGUACUAAACGUUGGGUAAAACCAGUGUUGAAGUUAACACAUUAAGUACUCCGCCUGAGUAGUACGUACGCAAGUAUGAAACUUAAAGGAAUUGACGGGACUCCGCACAAGCGGUGGAUCAUGUUGUUUAAUUCGAAGGUACCCGAAAAACCUCACCAGGUCUUGACAUGCUUCUGCAAAGCUGUAGAAACACAGUGGAGGUUAUCAGUUGCACAGGUGGUGCAUGGUUGUCGUCAGCUCGUGUCGUGAGAUGUUGGGUUAAGUCCCGCAACGAGCGCAACCCUUAUUGUUAGUUACCAGCACGUAAUGGUGGGGACUUUAGCAAGACUGCCAGUGAUAAAUUGGAGGAAGGUGGGGACGACGUCAAAUCAUCAUGCCCCUUAUGACCUGGGCUACAAACGUGAUACAAUGGCUGUUACAAAGGGUAGCUGAAGCGCAAGUUUUUGGCGAAUCUCAAAAAAACAGUCUCAGUUCGGAUUGAAGUCUGCAACUCGACUUCAUGAAGUGGAAUUCGCUAGUAAUCGCGAAUCAGCA
rnacentral:rRNA from 1 species